rnacentral:rRNA from 1 species
GACGAACGCUGGCGGCGUGCCUAAUACAUGCAAGUCGAGCGAAGUUUUUCGGGUGCUUGCACUAGAAAAACUUAGCGGCGAACGGGUGUGUAACACGUAAAGAACCUGCCUCAUAGACUGGGACAACUAUUGGAAACGAUAGCUAAUACCGGAUAACAGCAUUAACUGCAUGGUUGAUGUUUGAAAGUUGGUUUUGCUAACACUAUGAGAUGGCUUUGCGGUGCAUUAGCUAGUUGGUGGGGUAAAGGCCUACCAAGGCGACGAUGCAUAGCCGACCUGAGAGGGUGAUCGGCCACACUGGGACUGAGACACGGCCCAGACUCCUACGGGAGGCAGCAGUAGGGAAUCUUCCGCAAUGGGCGAAAGCCUGACGGAGCAACGCCGCGUGAGUGAAGAAGGAUUUCGGUUCGUAAAGCUCUGUUGUUAGGGAAGAAUGAUUGUGUAGAACUAUACACAGUAGAGACGGUACCUAACCAGAAAGCCACGGCUAACUACGUGC